GCAUAUGGACAACUCAGUUGGUUAGAGCAUGGUGCUUAGAAUGCCAAGGUUGCAGGUUCGAUCCCCGUAUGGGACAGCUGCA
rnacentral:tRNA from 1 species